ACUCAAAUGAAUAGACGGGGGCCCGCACAAGCAGCGGAGCGUGUGGUUUAAUUCGAGGCUACACGAAGAACCUUACCCGGGUUUGACAUAGGCGUAGUAGGGAAGCGAAAGCUGACCGACCCGUAAGGGAGCGUUUACAGGUGCUGCAUGGCUGUCGUCAGCUCGUGUCGUGAGAUGUUCGGUUAAGUCCGAAAACGAGCGCAACCCCCGGUGCCAGUUACACGUGUCUGGCGCGACUGCCCGCGAGAAGCGGGAGGAAGGUGGGGACGACGUCAAGUCAACAUGGCCUUUAUAUCCGGGGCUACACACACGCUACAAUGGUCGGUACAGUGGGUUGCGAGACUGCGAAGUGGAGCCAAUCCCCCAAAGCCGAUCUAAGUUCGGAUUGUAGGCUGCAACUCGCCUGCAUGAAGCCGGAGUUGCUAGUAACCGCGUAUCAGCUAUGGCGCGGUGAAUACGUUCCCGGGCCUUGCACACACCGCCCGU
rnacentral:rRNA from 1 species